rnacentral:tRNA from 1 species
UCCCUGGUGGCUCAGAUGGUAAAGCAUCUGCCUGCAAAGUGGGCGAUCCAGGUUUGAUCCCUGGCUCAGAAA